rnacentral:rRNA from 1 species
GGAGCUUGCUCCUUUGACGUUAGCGGCGGACGGGUGAGUAACACGUGGGUAACCUACCUAUAAGACUGGGAUAACUUCGGGAAACCGGAGCUAAUACCGGAUAACAUUUGGAACCGCAUGGUUCUAAAGUGAAAGAUGGUUUUGCUAUCACUUAUAGAUGGACCCGCGCCGUAUUAGCUAGUUGGUAAGGUAACGGCUUACCAAGGCGACGAUACGUAGCCGACCUGAGAGGGUGAUCGGCCACACUGGAACUGAGACACGGUCCAGACUCCUACGGGAGGCAGCAGUAGGGAAUCUUCCGCAAUGGGCGAAAGCCUGACGGAGCAACGCCGCGUGAGUGAUGAAGGGUUUCGGCUCGUAAAACUCUGUUAUUAGGGAAGAACAAAUGUGUAAGUAACUGUGCACGUCUUGACGGUACCUAAUCAGAAAGCCACGGCUAACUACGUGCCAGCAGCCGCGGUAAUACGUAGGUGGCAAGCGUUAUCCGGAAUUAUUGGGCGUAAAGCGCGCGUAGGCGGUUUCUUAAGUCUGAUGUGAAAGCCCACGGCUCAACCGUGGAGGGUCAUUGGAAACUGGGAAACUUGAGUGCAGAAGAGGAAAGUGGAAUUCCAUGUGUAGCGGUGAAAUGCGCAGAGAUAUGGAGGAACACCAGUGGCGAAGGCGACUUUCUGGUCUGUAACUGACGCUGAUGUGCGAAAGCGUGGGGAUCAAACAGGAUUAGAUACCCUGGUAGUCCACGCCGUAAACGAUGAGUGCUAAGUGUUAGGGGGUUUCCGCCCCUUAGUGCUGCAGCUAACGCAUUAAGCACUCCGCCUGGGGAGUACGACCGCAAGGUUGAAACUCAAAGGAAUUGACGGGGACCCGCACAAGCGGUGGAGCAUGUGGUUUAAUUCGAAGCAACGCGAAGAACCUUACCAAAUCUUGACAUCCUUUGAAAACUCUAGAGAUAGAGCUUUCCCCUUCGGGGGACAAAGUGACAGGUGGUGCAUGGUUGUCGUCAGCUCGUGUCGUGAGAUGUUGGGUUAAGUCCCGCAACGAGCGCAACCCUUAAGCUUAGUUGCCAUCAUUAAGUUGGGCACUCUAGGUUGACUGCCGGUGACAAACCGGAGGAAGGUGGGGAUGACGUCAAAUCAUCAUGCCCCUUAUGAUUUGGGCUACACACGUGCUACAAUGGACAAUACAAAGGGCAGCUAAACCGCGAGGUCAUGCAAAUCCCAUAAAGUUGUUCUCAGUUCGGAUUGUAGUCUGCAACUCGACUACAUGAAGCUGGAAUCGCUAGUAAUCGUAGAUCAGCAUGCUACGGUGAAUACGUUCCCGGGUCUUGUACACACCGCCC